UGGGGAAUUUUGGACAAUGGGCGCAAGCCUGAUCCAGCAAUGCCGCGUGCAGGAUGAAGGCCUUCGGGUUGUAAACUGCUUUUGUAGGGAACGAAAAAGCUCUCUCUAAUACAGGGGGUGAAUCACGGUACCGUAAGAAUAAGCACCGGCUAACUAGGUGCCAGCAGCCGCGGUAAUACGUAGGGUGCAAGCGUUAAUCGGAAUUACUGGGCGUAAAGCGGGGGCAGGGGGUUUUGUAAGUCAGAGGUGAAAUCCCCGGGCUCAACCGGGGAACUGCAUUGGAAACUGCGCAGCUAGAGUGCGGUAGAGGGUAGUGGAAUUCCCGGUGUAGCAGUGAAAUGCGUAGAGAUCGGGAGGAACAUCAGUGGCGAAGGCGACUGCCUGGACCAGCACUGACACUGAGGCACGAAAGCGUGGGGAGCAAACA
rnacentral:rRNA from 1 species